GACGAACGCUGGCGGCGUGCCUAAUACAUGCAAGUCGAACGAACUCUGGUAUUGAUUGGUGCUUGCAUCAUGAUUUACAUUUGAGUGAGUGGCGAACUGGUGAGUAACACGUGGGAAACCUGCCCAGAAGCGGGGGAUAACACCUGGAAACAGAUGCUAAUACCGCAUAACAACUUGGACCGCAUGGUCCGAGUUUGAAAGAUGGCUUCGGCUAUCACUUUUGGAUGGUCCCGCGGCGUAUUAGCUAGAUGGUGGGGUAACGGCUCACCAUGGCAAUGAUACGUAGCCGACCUGAGAGGGUAAUCGGCCACAUUGGGACUGAGACACGGCCCAAACUCCUACGGGAGGCAGCAGUAGGGAAUCUUCCACAAUGGACGAAAGUCUGAUGGAGCAACGCCGCGUGAGUGAAGAAGGGUUUCGGCUCGUAAAACUCUGUUGUUAAAGAAGAACAUAUCUGAGAGUAACUGUUCAGGUAUUGACGGUAUUUAACCAGAAAGCCACGGCUAACUACGUGCCAGCAGCCGCGGUAAUACGUAGGUGGCAAGCGUUGUCCGGAUUUAUUGGGCGUAAAGCGAGCGCAGGCGGUUUUUUAAGUCUGAUGUGAAAGCCUUCGGCUCAACCGAAGAAGUGCAUCGGAAACUGGGAAACUUGAGUGCAGAAGAGGACAGUGGAACUCCAUGUGUAGCGGUGAAAUGCGUAGAUAUAUGGAAGAACACCAGUGGCGAAGGCGGCUGUCUGGUCUGUAACUGACGCUGAGGCUCGAAAGUAUGGGUAGCAAACAGGAUUAGAUACCCUGGUAGUCCAUACCGUAAACGAUGAAUGCUAAGUGUUGGAGGGUUUCCGCCCUUCAGUGCUGCAGCUAACGCAUUAAGCAUUCCGCCUGGGGAGUACGGCCGCAAGGCUGAAACUCAAAGGAAUUGACGGGGGCCCGCACAAGCGGUGGAGCAUGUGGUUUAAUUCGAAGCUACGCGAAGAACCUUACCAGGUCUUGACAUACUAUGCAAAUCUAAGAGAUUAGACGUUCCCUUCGGGGACAUGGAUACAGGUGGUGCAUGGUUGUCGUCAGCUCGUGUCGUGAGAUGUUGGGUUAAGUCCCGCAACGAGCGCAACCCUUAUUAUCAGUUGCCAGCAUUAAGUUGGGCACUCUGGUGAGACUGCCGGUGACAAACCGGAGGAAGGUGGGGAUGACGUCAAAUCAUCAUGCCCCUUAUGACCUGGGCUACACACGUGCUACAAUGGAUGGUACAACGAGUUGCGAACUCGCGAGAGUAAGCUAAUCUCUUAAAGCCAUUCUCAGUUCAGAUUGUAGGCUGCAACUCGCCUACAUGAAGUCGGAAUCGCUAGUAAUCGCGGAUCAGCAUGCCGCGGUGAAUACGUUCCCGGGCCUUGUACACACCGCCCGUCACACCAUGAGAGUUUGUAACACCCAAAGUCGGUGGGGUAACCUUUUAGGAACCAGCCGCCUAAGGUGGGACAGAUGAUUAGGGUG
rnacentral:rRNA from 1 species